rnacentral:rRNA from 1 species
UACGGAGGGGGCUAGCGUUGUUCGGAAUUAUUGGGCGUAAAGGGCGCGUAGGCGGCUAUUCAAGUGGCGGGUGAAAUCCCUCGGCUUAACCGAGGAACUGCCUGCCAGACUGGAUGGCUUGAGACCGGGAGAGGUGAGUGGAAUUCCCAGUGUAGCGGUGAAAUGCGUAGAUAUCUGGAGGAACACCGGUGGCGAAGGCGGCAUCCUGGACCGACACUGACGCUGAGGAGCGAAAGCCAGGGGAGCAAACGGG